rnacentral:lncRNA from 1 species
CUACGUAUUCCGUCCUUUAUUCGGUGCAAAUUUACGAACUUUACAUUUGGACCAUCAAAUUAAAUAUGUGUGGUUCGGAAUUUCGGAUAAAAACUGGAUUUAGACCGGUUACUUAAACACAUUUUUACAAAAAAAAAAACCCUCUGUUAUCCUGGUCUUUUUAUCUCCCGUUAAGAACACCAUUCAUCUUCCCACCCAAGCCUAGAUGAACCGGUGGCCAGCAGCGACGAUCAAAUCGGAGGCCGUCGUGUGACCGCGACAAGGCAGUGGCAACGCGGCCACACACGUUGGAGCCGGUAACAAUCCCACCUCCCCUGUUGGACCACGUCGGCGGCAGCAAAGCUGGGCCAUUCGUUGGCAACGUCGACGGCGCUAGUGCGGGCCCCACUGCUACAAAACAGCGUAUCAGUAACGGGCGCAAAACGUCAUCAGUGAUGUGGGGUAUCAUCAGUGGCGGGCUCCUAAUAGGCCCGACACUGAUGUGUGUUUGAUGAAGUAAAAAAUACGGCCGGGCUCCAGGCCUGCCCCAAACCCACCCUGCCCACAAGCCAAAACCAAAUCAGCACCGAUCCGGCGGCGGCUGACAAGUCGAGGGCGGCGGAUCCAGCGUCCGGUGGGGGCGGGGGCACCCGAUCCGGGGGCGGCGGUUCGAGGAAGGCCGGAUCCAGCCGCGGGCAAGGUCGUGGGUGGCGGAUCCGUCAGCGGCGCCGCUGCACAAUUGUCUCGAUCUGGAUAUGGAGAGAAAGAGAGUUACCGAGAGAUGGAGAGAGUGAGAGAAAGGGACAGAGAGAGAGGAACCUGCAGAACUCCGGCGAGCUCCUCCUCAACCUAGAGCUCCUCCUCCUCGGCCGGUUACGCUGGUCCCGCAAAGGGUGGCGCUGGAGCUCCUCCUCGGCGUGCAGAUCCCCUCCCUCUCCCACGUGCCGCCGCUGCUCCAAGUCCCACGCGCCGACGGUGGUGCUCGAGUGGCCGGGGGCGGGACUCGCGGCCGGCAACAGGGCUCGCGUUCAGGUGAGCGUUGCCGGCGGCGAGGCGAGCGGGGCAGGGGGUCAGGCGGGGCUUUCCAUGGUGGCGCUAGGCAGAAGAGAGAAGAGAAGGGAGCAGGGACACGCGGGAGAGAAGAGAGCAGAGGGAGAGUUCGGGCCGGGGAGAGAAGAGACAAAGGGAUGGCGGCG